GACGAACGCUGGCGGCGUGCUUAACACAUGCAAGUCGAACGGUAAGGCCCUUCGGGGUACACGAGUGGCGAACGGGUGAGUAACACGUGGGUGAUCUGCCCUGCACUUCGGGAUAAGCCUGGGAAACUGGGUCUAAUACCGGAUAGGACUCCGGACUGCAUGGUCUGGGGUGGAAAGCUUUUGCGGUGUGGGAUGGGCCCGCGGCCUAUCAGCGUGUUGGUGGGGUGAUGGCCUACCAAGGCGACGACGGGUAGCCGGCCUGAGAGGAUGACCGGACACACUGGGACUGAGAUACGGCCCAGACUCCUACGGGAGGCAGCAGUGGGGAAUAUUGCACAAUGGGCGCAAGCCUGAUGCAGCGACGCCGCGUGAGGGAUGACGGCCUUCGGGUUGUAAACCUCUUUCAGCAUCGACGAAGCGAAAGUGACGGUAGGUGCAGAAGAAGGACCGGCCAACUACGUGCCAGCCGCCGCCGUAA
rnacentral:rRNA from 1 species